GUGGGGAAUAUUGGACAAUGGGCGAAAGCCUGAUCCAGCAAUGCCGCGUGAGUGAUGAAGGCCUUAGGGUUGUAAAGCUCUUUUACCCGGGAAGAUAAUGACUGUACCGGGAGAAUAAGCCCCGGCUAACUCCGUGCCAGCAGCCGCGGUAAUACGGAGGGGGCUAGCGUUGUUCGGAAUUACUGGGCGUAAAGCGCACGUAGGCUGCUUUGUAAGUCAGAGGUGAAAGCCCGGGGCUCAACCCCGGAUGUGCCUUUGGGACUGCAGAGCUAGAACGUCGGAGAGGUGAGUGGAAUUCCGAGUGUAGAGGUGAAAUUCGUAGAUAUUCGGAAGAACACCAGUGGCGAAGGCGGCUCACUGGACGACUGUUGACGCUGAGGUGCGAAAGCGUGGGGAGCAAACAGG
rnacentral:rRNA from 1 species